rnacentral:rRNA from 1 species
AGAGUUUGAUCAUGGCUCAGAUUGAACGCUGGCGGCGUGCUUAACACAUGCAAGUCGAACGAGAACGGCUCUAGCUUGCUAGAGUGUCAGCUAAGUGGCGCACGGGUGAGUAAUAUAUAGAUAACAUGCCCUUUAGUGGGGGAUAACAUUUGGAAACGGAUGCUAAUACCCUAUAUUCCUUUUUGAUAUUAAGUUGAAAAGGGAAAGUUUUUUCGCUAAAGGAUUGGUCUGUAGUGUAUCAGCUAGUUGGUGGGGUAAAAGCCUACCAAGGCUAUGACGCAUAGCUGGUCUGAGAGGAUGAUCAGCCACACUGGAACUGAGACACGGUCCAGACUCCUACGGGAGGCAGCAGUGGGGAAUAUUGCACAAUGGAGGAAACUCUGAUGCAGCAACGCCGCGUGGAGGAUGAAGCAUUUCGGUGUGUAAACUCCUUUUAUAUGAGAAGAAAAUGACG